GUCCAUGAACCUGGUUCUUUGGACCACCUAAGGACGACUGAUUAACAGUUGACAAUAUUUGGCACAAUGCAGGAGAAUUUUCUUUCUCGGCUACCACCAUAAAAGUCUGUAGGCUGGACCUGUCAGAUGGUUUCAGAGCAAUGGGAUGAAUCCCCAUCUUCCACCCAUACCGAAACUUUGGGAAGAGUAAACCUAAUACAUGAGAUUCUGCCAAAGUGAGGCAAAUAAAUCUCCCCCCAACUUUUAGCAAUCUCUUAACCUCAGACAAAUACUGAGUCCCUAACUUUGAUCCAAGCUCAGGCUCCAUUAAAGCAUCCAAUCCUCCCUUGUCGAGAAUGGCACCAAAGCUCUCCUUCGCAAACUGCAUAUUCGUCAUGUCCAUGACACGCCAUUUCAUAACAGGUCUAGCCCGAAUAUUUCGUCUCAACAUAUCCGAAAUAACAACUUUAGAGAAAUCAACAUUAGUAAUAUUACAAAACCCCUCAUCAUAAAGAUACUCAGAGAGCUUCGAAU
rnacentral:misc_RNA from 1 species